rnacentral:rRNA from 1 species
CUGUACACUCCUACGGGAGGCAGCAGUGGGGAAUAUUGCACAAUGGGCGCAAGCCUGAUGCAGCCAUGCCGCGUGUAUGAAGAAGGCCUUCGGGUUGUAAAGUACUUUCAGCAGUGAGGAAGGCGGAGUCGUUAAUAGCGGCCUCGUUUGACGUUAGCUGCAGAAGAAGCACCGGCUAACUCCGUGCCAGCAGCCGCGGUAAUACGGAGGGUGCGAGCGUUAAUCGGAAUUACUGGGCGUAAAAGCGCAUGCAGGUGGUUUGUUAAGUCAGAUGUGAAAGCCCGGGGCUCAACCUCGGAAUUGCAUUUGAAACUGGCAGACUAGAGUACUGUAGAGGGGGUAGAAUUUCAGGUGUAGCGGUGAAAAUGCGUAGAGAUCUGAAGGAAUACCGGUGGCGAAGGCGGCCCCCUGGACAGAUACUGACACUCAGAUGCGAAAGCGUGGGGAGCAAACAGGAUUAGAUACCCUGGUAG